UGGGGGAUAUUGCACAAUGGGCGAAAGCCUGAUGCAGCAACGCCGCGUGAGGGAAGACGGUUUUCGGAUUGUAAACCUCUGUCUUCGGUGAAGAAACAAAUGACGGUAGCCGAGGAGGAAGCCACGGCUAACUACGUGCCAGCAGCCGCGGUAAUACGUAGGUGGCGAGCGUUGUCCGGAAUUACUGGGUGUAAAGGGAGCGCAGGCGGGGAAACAAGUCAGCUGUGAAAACUAUGGGCUUAACCCAUAAACUGCAGUUGAAACUGUUUUUCUUGAGUGGAGUAGAGGUAGGCGGAAUUCCGAGUGUAGCGGUGAAAUGCGUAGAUAUUCGGAGGAACACCAGUGGCGAAGGCGGCCUACUGGGCUCUAACUGACGCUGAGGCUCGAAAGUGUGGGGAGCAAACA
rnacentral:rRNA from 1 species